GACUUCUUAGAUGGCCUAGUGGUUAGAGCGUACGUCUUGGAUGCGGGAGGUCGCGGAUUCGAACCCCAGUCGAGUCA